GUGCAGCAGGCGCGAAACUUUACAAUGCGGGAAACCGUGAUAAGGGAACCUCGAGUGCUGGCGCAUAGCGUCGGCUGUCCAGAUGCCUAAAAGCAUCUGAUAGCAAGGGCCGGGCAAGACCGGUGCCAGCCGCCGCGGUAACACCGGCGGCUCGAGUGGUGGCCACGUUUAUUGGGUCUAAAGCGUCCGUAGCCGGCUCGGCAAGUCCCCUGGGAAAUCUGGCGGCUCAACCGUCAGGCGUCCAGAGGAUACC
rnacentral:rRNA from 1 species